GAUAUCAACUGAAAAAGUCAUCAACAACAAAGUUGAAUAACUUAUCAAGAUCUAAAACUUUUAUUUUGGUCAUUUGUUCAUACAACAAAGUGAUAGUAACAUUGUUCACAAAAUUGACAUAUCUCUUAUCUGGUUUAUAAACUAUAACACAUAUAUGUAAAAUUUGUGAAUAAUGUUACUAACAUUUUGUUGGAUGAAGAAAUAAUAAAAAUAAAAGUUUUAGAUCUUGAUGAGUUAUUCAACUUUGUUGUUGAUGACUUUUUCAAUUGAAAUC
rnacentral:pre_miRNA from 1 species